rnacentral:rRNA from 1 species
UACGGAAGGCAGCAGUGGGGAAUAUUGCACAAUGGGCGCAAGCCUGAUGCAGCCAUGCCGCGUGUAUGAAGAAGGCCUUCGGGUUGUAAAGUACUUUCAGUCGUGAGGAAGGUGUUAAGGUUAAUAACUUUAGCAAUUGACGUUAGCGACAGAAGAAGCACCGGCUAACUCCGUGCCAGCAGCCGCGGUAAUACGGAGGGUGCGAGCGUUAAUCGGAAUUACUGGGCGUAAAGGGCACGCAGGCGGUUAAUUAAGUUGGAUGUGAAAUCCCCGGGCUUAACCUGGGAAUGGCAUUCAAGACUGGUUAGCUAGAGUCUUGUAGAGGGGGUAGAAUUCCAUGUGUAGCGGUGAAAUGCGUAGAGAUGUGGAGGAAUACCGGUGGCGAAGGCGGCCCCUGGGACAAAGGACUGACGCUCAUGUGCGAAAGCGUGGGGAGCAAACAGGGAUUAGAUACC